GUGCUGACUUUGCUAACACGUACACUAAAAUUGGCACAAUACAGAGAAGCUUAGCAUGGCCCCUGCACAGGGACACACAAAUUUGUUCAGCAAGAUGUAUUUCU